GAUGAACGCUGGCGGCGUGCCUAAUACAUGCAAGUCGAACGCACAGACUAUAAGGUAGCUCGCUUCACCAUAGACUGUGAGGGGCGAACGGGUGAGUCAUGCGUAGCUAACCUGCCUGGGAGCGGGUGGUAACUAUUGGAAACGUAAGCUAAUAUAGCAUAAUAUUAAUUAUUCAAUGGUAAUUAAUGGAAUGGUGCAAUUGCACAACUACUAUCGGGACCGCUGCUGUAUUAGGUAGUGGGGAAGCUAACGGCCGACCAAGGGCAGGACCGAGAGCAGACCUGAGAGGGUGUCCGGCCACCCGGGAACGGGGACACGGCCCAGACUCCUACGGGAGGCAGCAGUGGGGAAUUUUGGCAAAUGGGGGAAAGCUUGCCGGAGCAAGCCCGCGUGGGUGAGGAAGGUUUUCGGUUGGUAAACCCCUUUUAUUGGGAAAGAACAGUGGGAGAGUGAAAUGUGCACGUUGUGACGGUACCUAAUCAGAAAGCGACGGCUAACUACGUG
rnacentral:rRNA from 1 species